CCGAGGGCCAGACACUCGGAGGCGCAAGGGAAUCUGGCCGAGAGGAGGUGAGAAAGGAGCUAGAGUGGCUGCAGAGAGCUGGGGAGGAGAGGAGGCUGGAGGGAGGAGGGCAGGGCCAGACUCAGGCCUGGAAGGAGCUCCUAGCUGUCUAGGCUGGGUGUGAGCACGACCCUGACUUAGUACUCGUGAGAACAAACAGGCACCACCUCCUCGUUUCUCUCCAGGAUCCAGGCUCAGCUCUGCUAGGAACCUCUGCCUCCAGGUCUCCGGGAGGCUGAGCUGCAGGCUCAACGGAGGCUAGAGGGGCGGGGGCUGUCUCGGACACCACUGCCCGACUAUCGGCAGGACGCCAUUUGGAUGGAUUUGGGAGUCUUUUCCGUCUGGGAGCCGGGACCCUCUGCUGCUCUUUGCACGAGGGCCACCAAGCGCAGCUCCUAAUAUCUCGUCUUGCUUCUCCUGAACAACGGAUCAGAGAGACAGAGAGAACACCGAGAGAGACACAGACAGAAAGCCAGAGAGGAGAGACAGAGAGACAAAGAAGAAGAGACGGAAAUGGAGAGAGAAGAGACAGAGAAACAGAGACCGGGAGAGACUGAGAGAGACAGGAAAAGACACAGCCCCACAGAGAGACACAGAGCCCAGAGAGACGCAGAGAGACAGAGAGAGAAGAGAGAGAGAGAGAGAGAGAGAUGGAGAGAGAAUGAACACAGGAGAGAGGGCGGCAGGCAGAAGCCACAGACAUGUCCUGAACUCCGUCUUGGAAGGGACAUCCCGUCCCUUUGCCAUAUUCUACUGGUUGGAACCCAGUUCCUUCCCCGCGAGGAGGCCGGAUCACAUAAGAUGUGUGGCUAGGGGGGGAACACUGGGAGCCAUUCUGGGGUCUCCCACGCACAGAGGCGGACAGGAGGCCGUUGGACCUGAGUCUGAACCUAACAGGAGGCCCCGGAAGGUUGUGAGCCAGAGGGAGAUGAUGUCUGAACAGCAUUUCAUGACAACGCUCCCUGGGGACACUGGGAAACAGGCAGGAGGGGCAGUGCCUUUCCCAGAUGCCAGAGCAGCCCCAGGUCUGUUGGAGUUGUCUUGUCUGUCCCGCCCAGCCCUUUGGGAACCCUUCCCGUGCUAAGUCUGGCAGGAGCUCCACGGGGUAGCGGCCCAUGGUUGACAGGCGCUAGAGGGAUUGAUAGGUCUAGACACCUGAAGACACCCUUAGCAAAGGUCCACUCGGGACACGGAGUCCAGCUCCCCGAGGGAGGAGAAGCUGGGCAGGAACAGCGUAGCGGCAGGCGUGGGAAAAGGCUGCCGUCCUCAGGGACUGUUGCACAAGGAUCAGAGCCAGCACAGGCCCCAGCCCGUGUGCGGGGAGCACAAUCACCUCCAGCAGCUCCUGCACAAGGGCAGGAGACAAGCGGCGCGCCAGGAUGGGAGCAGGGAGAGCCAGACCCUCCUCAGACUCGGGCAGGAGCCAUGCAGCCGGAUCUCAUGGAACCAGCGGAGCAGGAGAGCCAUCCCCUGCUCCGGCUCCUGCCAGUGCCCGGGCAGGCUGAAGUGGUCGCCAGGAGCAGCGAGCCUCGUCCCUCUCAGUCCCCGCAGGCUUGCGAGAAGAGGCCAUCCCCUGCUCCAGCUCCUGCCAGUGCCCCGGGCAGGCUGAAGUGGUCGCCAGGGGCAGGGAGAGCCAUCCCCUGCUCCAGGCUCCUGCCAGUGCCCCAGGGCAGGCUGAAGUGGUCGCCAGGGAGCAGGGAGAGCCAUCCCCUGCUCCAUCUCCUGCCAGUGCCCUGGGGCAGGCUGAAGUGGUCCAGGGAGCAGGGAGAGCCAUCCCCUGCCCGGCUCCUGCCAGUGCCCGGGGCAGGCUGAAGUGGUCGCCAGGGAGCAGGGAGAGCCAUCCCCUGCUCCGCUCCUGCCAGUGCCCGGGGCAGGCUGAAUGUCGCCAGGGAGCAGGAGAGCCAUCCCCUGCUCCGCUCCUGCCAGUGCCCCGGGGCAGGCUGAAGUGGUCGCCAGGGAGCAGGGAGAGCCAUCCCCUGCUCCGCUCCUGCCAGUGCCCCGGGCAGGCUGAAGUGGUCGCCGGGAGCAGGGAGAGCCAUCCCCUGCUCCCUCCUGCCAGUGCCCGGGGCAGGCUGAAGUGGUCGCCAGGGAGCAGGGAGAGCCACCUCCCCUCGCGUCCGGAGUGAGUGGCGCCAGAACAAGCUCCCUGCCGCGCCAGUGCCCGGGCCUGAGGCCAGGACAGGGCCCCCGUCCGCAUCCCGUAGCUGAGUGUCGCCAGGGAGCGAGGCACCGUCUCAGCGGAGCAUCGAGGCAGGGAAUCCCCUGCUCCGGCUCCUGCCAGUGCCCGGGGCAGGCUGAAGUGGUCGCCAGGGAGCAGGGAGAGCCAUCCCCUGCUCCGGCUCCUGCCAGUGCCCCGGGGCAGGCUGAAUGGUCGCCAGGGAGCAGGGAGAGCCACCCUCCCGCUCUGCCAGUGCCCGGGCGGUAGUGGUCGCCAGACAGAACUCGCUGCUCCUGCCAGUGCCCGGGCAGGCUGAAGUGGUCGCCAGGGAGCAGGGAGAGCCAUCCCCUGCUCCGGCUCCUGCCAGUGCCCCGGGGCAGGCUGAAGUGGUCGCCAGGGAGCGGAGGCUCCGCUGCUCUGCAGUGCCCGGCGGGAGUGCCCG
rnacentral:lncRNA from 1 species